UUCAAUUUUGUCAACGUAAUUUCGGUCAUUCUGGUGGUCUACUCUCUGUUCGAUGUCAAAUUUCUUUUCAUCAGUGAACACCAGGUUGAGCAGCAUGCCUUCAGCAAUCUGACGCAGGAUAAGACGACUUUUCUCCAGUCUCGUGGUCUUAUAAACUUACGUGAGCUCAUGACGGUGGAUAAUCUUGUAGAGGUGGGUCCUGAGAUCUU